GACGGGUGAGUAACGCGUGAGUAACCUGCCUUCAAGAGGGGGAUAACAUUCUGAAAAGAAUGCUAAUACCGCAUGACAUAUCGGAAUCACAUGGUUUUGAUAUCAAAGAUUUUAUCGCUUGAAGAUGGACUCGCGUCCGAUUAGUUAGUUGGUGAGGUAACGGCUCACCAAGACCGCGAUCGGUAGCCGGACUGAGAGGUUGAACGGCCACAUUGGGACUGAGACACGGCCCAGACUCCUACGGGAGGCAGCAGUGGGGGAUAUUGCGCAAUGGGGGCAACCCUGACGCAGCAACGCCGCGUGAAGGAUGAAGGUUUUCGGAUUGUAAACUUCUUUUAUUAAGGACGAAACUUGACGGUACUUAAUGAAUAAGCUCCGGCUAACUACGUGCCAGCAGCCGCGGUAAUACGUAGGGAGCAAGCGUUGUCCGGAUUUACUGGGUGUAAAGGGUGCGUAGGCGGCUUUGCAAGUCAGAUGUGAAAUCUAUGGGCUCAACCCAUAAACUGCAUUUGAAACUGUAGAGCUUGAGUGAAGUAGAGGCAGGCGGAAUUCCCCGUGUAGCGGUGAAAUGCGUAGAGAUGGGGAGGAACACCAGUGGCGAAGGCGGCCUGCUGGGCUUUAACUGACGCUGAGGCACGAAAGCGUGGGUAGCAAACAGGAUUAGAUACCCUGGUAGUCCACGCU
rnacentral:rRNA from 1 species